rnacentral:lncRNA from 1 species
AUCACCUCUNCCUGCCAUCAGGGCUAACAGCCAUAAAUAUAUACAAACACAGAACCCCCUGGCUCCAUCACCUACUCUAACUUUCCUGCCAGCUGCAGGGAGAACAUNCUUCAGCAAGCGAGUUCUGCCAUGCUCCAGAUGCUCCAACUAGACCACCCUCCCCGGAUAGCCAUCGAAGCCACCCGGCGGGCGCACGAAGGAUGGGCAAAGACAAUGACAGGGCUUCCCGCCUUGCCAGUUGCAGAGCCACUCAUGAAUAUAUCCACCAAUGGGACACUGAUUAUCCGAAGAGGAAACUGCGUGCAGAUUUCCAGCCACGUAACAAUGGAUGAACUUGGCUGGAAGAGCUGGGUGCUGUACCCCGAGUCCUUCGUUUUCACCCAGUGCCUGGGCUGCCGCUGCCAGCGAAAAGACAAACAGCCUCCAUUGCCUCCCUGGAUGCAGGAAUGCGGAAUUGGGCAGGCGGGGACUCAGCUAGAGCUGGACAUCGAUCAGAGGCACUGCUGCCGGCCACGCCGGAUCCCGCUCUCCUUUGUGUACCUCAAGGACGACGCCUUGGUAAUGAAAGGGGUCCAGGUGGUUCAUCACUGCCANUGUGAUGCCUGAGGCUUCACGUACCCAACCGGACCAGUGCAGAAAGCNGCCUGUGCGAGCAAAACCGGAGGAGGUGGAAAGGAAGCCACAGAAUCAAACCCAGACGCCCUCAAAUUGGUGCUUGCCCGUGCUGAGCGGAGCAGGGGAAGGAUUCUCUCCCAUCCCAGGACAUUAACAGAGCAAGGAGGGAGUCCAUUCUCUUCGAACCUGCUGGCUUGCUUUGCCGCAAGGUUUCGUUUUGUGAGUUUGUUUCUUUUUAUCUUGACUUGUAUAGAAAACCUAUCAACAAAUAUAACGACAACAGGCUACAUAAAAGCAGGAACUUGUGCUUUCCAAAACAGAAGCUCCCGUUCCCUCUCCUCAGCUCCCAAAAUAAGGGCAUGCUUGCCCUUCUCCUCAAAGAAUCCUGGGUCCUUUCUGCCCUGGGUCUUAUUCUGGGUUAUAUCUGGCGUAGUCUGCACUACCAUGUGAACNGUCCUAGCACUGGCAGGUGCCCAUUCCAGUAUAUAAUCAGGAAUAAAGCUCGGUGUAGAAAGGGCCCUAGAAUAAUU